UGAUGACCUGAGUUUAAUUCUUGGAACCCAU
rnacentral:piRNA from 1 species